GACGAACGCUGGCGGCGUGCUUAACACAUGCAAGUCGAACGGAAAGGCCCUGCUUUUGUGGGGUGCUCGAGUGGCGAACGGGUGAGUAACACGUGAGUAACCUGCCCUUGACUUUGGGAUAACUUCAGGAAACUGGGGCUAAUACCGGAUAGGAGCUCCUGCUGCAUGGUGGGGGUUGGAAAGUUUCGGCGGUUGGGGAUGGACUCGCGGCUUAUCAGCUUGUUGGUGGGGUAGUGGCUUACCAAGGCUUUGACGGGUAGCUGGCCUGAGAGGGUGACCGGCCACAUCGGGACUGAGAUACGGCCCAGACUCCUACGGGAGGCAGCAGUGGGGAAUAUUGCACAAUGGGCGGAAGCCUGAUGCAGCAACGCCGCGUGCGGGAUGACGGCCUUCGGGUUGUAAACCGCUUUCGCCUGUGACGAAGCGUGAGUGACGGUAAUGGGUAAAGAAGCACCGGCUAACUACGUG
rnacentral:rRNA from 1 species